GGCCUGAUGGUCUAGUCGUAUGAUUCAUGCUUAGGGCUCUCUCUAAUCGGAGUUUGAAUGCGUGAGGUCCCGGGUUCAAUUCCCGGUUAGGCCC